rnacentral:rRNA from 1 species
AUUGAACGCUGGCGGCAUGCCUUACACAUGCAAGUCGAACGGCAGCAUGGAGAGCUUGCUCUCUGAUGGCGAGUGGCGAACGGGUGAGUAAUGCAUCGGAACGUACCGUGUAAUGGGGGAUAGCGUAGCGAAAGUUACGCUAAUACCGCAUACGACCUGAGGGUGAAAGCAGGGGAUCGCAAGACCUUGCGUUAUACGAGCGGCCGAUGUCAGAUUAGCUAGUUGGUGAGGUAAAGGCUCACCAAGGCGACGAUCUGUAGCGGGUCUGAGAGGGUGAUCCGCAACACUGGGACUGAGACACGGCCCAGACUCCUACGGGAGGCAGCAGUGGGGAAUUUUGGACAAUGGGGGCAACCCUGAUCCAGCCAUGCCGCGUGAGUGAAGAAGGCCUUCGGGUUGUAAAGCUCUUUCGGCCGGGAAGAAAUCGCACAGGCUAAUACUCUGUGUGGAUGACGGUACCGGCAUAAGAAGCACCGGCUAACUACGUGCCAGCCGCCGCCGUAA